GCCUUGCAGCCCUGGGCUGGACCCCAGACCUCAGCCUGGAAUGCUGGUGCUUCUGCAAGAGCUGGUAUUAUCGUCCAGCAUGAUCGUCAUCUUCAGACCUGGGAAGACGCGAGCCGUCACGGACCAGGUGCCGGGCCUGCUGUCGCACAGGUAGUGGUUGUGCAAAACUGGCUUAGCCCUGUUUCCCUUUGCGUCGCUCUCCACCGCCUCGGACCUCGGUGGACCACCUCUCGAGCUUUGCUUGGGGCCCAGCUCAUUUCCCCCAUUCCAGUCCUGUUCCCUUGUAGGCGGAGGGACAGUGGGGACAGGCCAGUGAGGCCCUUGGCAAGUUCUCUUUGUCUCCCCGCCCUCUGUCAUAACAUCCUCCCAUCCAACCUCCUGCCCCACAGCUUGCAGACUCCCGUUUGACUAGUGCUCUUGAAUCAAACCCCUUCCUCUGUUCAGAUGAAAAUAACCCGGUUAGAACCUGCUUAAAGAUUCUACGGAAGGGAGAGGGGUGG
rnacentral:lncRNA from 1 species